UUUUUUGGCAGUAAACAAUUAUUUCCUUAUUUGAAAAUUCAUAACAAUAAUUAAAUAUUUAUUAUGUUUUAUGGAUUUUAUGUACAUAUUUUAUAUGCGCAUCCCAAACGUAUUGGAUUCUGCAUUUUUCAAGAAAAUGCAAAUCCACGUAUCAAAUACAGAUUGUGUCUGAUACUCGUAUCCGUAUCGGUGCUUCAUAGUGAAUGCAGUACACUUCAAGGGCUACUCACUGAUUUUGGGUUCGAUGAAUGCUUUAUGAAAGAAAAUAGUAGCGCAUCAAUCCAGAUCAGUUACUGUCAUCCGAGUCCAUACCCAUUUUGUGAAUGUCUAACUCAAGGACUGAUAGCAUAUUUUUUGUUUGGAAAAAGCUGAAUUGCCCUGGAACACAUUCCUCAAAUUUCAGUGAUGUUGUUAGAAAUGUAAAAAACUUAACAGUUAUGUUGUUCUCUCUUGAGAAUAUCAUUGCUAUUGAUUUUCUUUUAUUGUUUUCUGGGCUCACCUCAACCGGGCUGGGAGACUCUGGAUCUCUACACUCUAGCAGUGGUCUCUUUUUUUGAUGUAUUUAAGACCAUUCUAUUGUUUAUAUUUUAUGUGGUUUCUAAUCUGAAUUAGUGAUUCUGUCAACGUUUAUUUUUCAGAUUGGUUUGGAUGGAAUUCGUAUGC
rnacentral:lncRNA from 1 species